rnacentral:rRNA from 1 species
UACGAAGGGGGCUAGCGUUGCUCGGAAUUACUGGGCGUAAAGGGCGCGUAGGCGGAUGUCUAAGUUGGGGGUGAAAUCCCGGGGCUCAACCUCGGAAUUGCCUUCAAAACUGGAUAUCUUGAGUUCGGGAGAGGUGAGUGGAACUCCGAGUGUAGAGGUGAAAUUCGUAGAUAUUCGGAAGAACACCAGUGGCGAAGGCGACUCACUGGCCCGAUACUGACGCUGAGGCGCGAAAGCGUGGGGAGCAAACAGGG